rnacentral:rRNA from 1 species
UACACAUGCAGUCGAACGGUGAAGAGAGCUUGCUCUCUGGAUCAGUGGCGAACGGGUGAGUAACACGUGAGCAAUCUGCCCUUGACUCUGGGAUAAGCGCUGGAAACGGCGUCUAAUACCGGAUACGAGCUGUGAAGGCAUCUUCAACAGCUGGAAAGAACUUCGGUCAAGGAUGAGCUCGCGGCCUAUCAGCUAGUUGGUGAGGUAAUGGCUCACCAAGGCGUCGACGGGUAGCCGGCCUGAGAGGGUGACCGGCCACACUGGGACUGAGACACGGCCCAGACUCCUACGGGAGGCAGCAGUGGGGAAUAUUGCACAAUGGGCGCAAGCCUGAUGCAGCAACGCCGCGUGAGGGACGACGGCCUUCGGGUUGUAAACCUCUUUUAGCAGGGAAGAAGCGAAAGUGACGGUACCUGCAGAAAAAGCACCGGCUAACUACGUGCCAGCAGCCGCGGUAAUACGUAGGGUGCAAGCGUUAUCCGGAAUUAUUGGGCGUAAAGAGCUCGUAGGCGGUUUGUCGCGUCUGCUGUGAAAACUGGGGGCUCAACCCCCAGCCUGCAGUGGGUACGGGCAGACUAGAGUGCGGUAGGGGAGAUUGGAAUUCCUGGUGUAGCGGUGGAAUGCGCAGAUAUCAGGAGGAACACCGAUGGCGAAGGCAGAUCUCUGGGCCGUAACUGACGCUGAGGAGCGAAAGGGUGGGGAGCAAACAGGCUUAGAUACCCUGGUAGUCCACCCCGU